rnacentral:lncRNA from 1 species
GUUUUUUAUAAAAAAAUAUUAAGAAUAAAGUCUUAAUUUAAUCUUAAUCAAACUCUAAUGUAACCUUUAAAAAAUUGUAAUAAAAUCCUAAACCAUUCCUAAUCAAAUCCUAAAUAAAUCUUAAUCAAAUUCUAAAUCAAUUCUAAUUAAAUCCUAAACCAAAUCCUAAUCAAAUCUUAAUCAAAUUUUAAUCAAAUUUUAAUAUAAAUCCUAAUCAACACG